UAACUACGUGCCAGCAGCCGCGGUAAUACGUAGGCGCAAGCGUUAUCCGGAAUUAUUGGGCGUAAAGAGCUCGUAGGCGGUUUGUCGCGUCUGCCGUGAAAGUCCGGGGUUCAACUCCGGAUCUGCGGUGGGUACGGGCAGACCAGAAUGAUGUAGGGGAGACUGGAUUCCUGGUGUAGCGGUGAAAUGCGCAGAUAUCAAAAGGAACACCGAUGGCGAAAGCAGGUCUCUGGGCAUUAACUGACGCUGAGGAGCGAAAGCAUGGGGAGCGAACAGGAUUAGAUACCCUGGUAGUCCAUGCCGUAAACGUUGGGCACUAGGUGUGGGGGACAUUCCACGUUUUCCGUACCGUAGCUAACGCAUUAAGUGCUUCGCCUGG
rnacentral:rRNA from 1 species